CCUACGGGGGGCUGCAGUGGGGAAUAUUGCGCAAUGGGCGAAAGCCUGACGCAGCGACGCCGCGUGGGUGAUGAAGGCCUUCGGGUCGUAAAGCCCUGUCGGGAGGGAAGAAACGUUCCGGGCCUAAUAUGCCCGGGGAUUGACGGUACCUCCUAAGGAAGCACCGGCUAACUCCGUGCCAGCAGCCGCGGUAAUACGGAGGGUGCUAGCGUUGUUCGGAAGCACUGGGCGUAACCGGCGUGUCGGCUGUGAAAUCCCCUCGCUCAACGAGGGAACUGCGUCGGAUACUGGUGGACUCGAGUACCGGAGAGGAAGGUGGAAUUCCCGGUGUAGCGGUGAAAUGCGUAGAUAUCGGGAGGAACAUCGGUGGCGAAGGCGGCCUUCUGGACGGAUACUGACGCUGAGACGCGAAAGCGUGGGGAGCAAACAGGAUUAGAUACCCGGGUAGUC
rnacentral:rRNA from 1 species